GGAUUUUGUUAUCUAUUUGGGAUCCCCAGAGACUCCAUAUGAAUGGAUGAAGUUUUGCUCUGUCCCCAAGCUGGAGUGCAGUGGUGCAAUCUUGGUUCACUGCAACCUCUGCCUCCCAGGUUCAAGCGAUUCUCCUGUCUCAGCCUCCUGAGUAGCUGGGAUUACAGGUGCUUGCCACCAUGGCCAGCUAAUUUUUAUAUUUUUAGUAGAGACUGGGUUUCACCAUGUUGGCCAGGCUGGUCUCGAACUCCUGACCUCAGGUGAUCCGACUGCCUCAGCUUCCUAAAGUGCUGGGAUUACAGGCAUGAGCCAAUGCACCCAGACUUAAUGAUCAUUCUUUAACAGCCCUUUCUUGAUUUGUGUGUUUGUGUGUGUAUGUGUGUGUGUGUGAAUGUAAUGCAUGUAGUGGAGGUGUUUCUUAUAUAUUAUUUUUCCCUUUCCUUUUUUCUUAUGUCUAUUACUACUCCAUUUUAUAACAUUUAUAUUCUAUAUUAGCAAAAUUGUUAUUUUAAAUUUAAUGCUUGUAAGGUUCUUGUCACUAACCAAUCUAUCUGUAUAGUUUCUCUGUCAGCAGUUUUUUUUUUUUAACAGAGUUAUUUACCUUUUUAUUCAUGCUUCUUUUCAUUCAUCAUCUUUUGGUGUCUUUCUCUCUGUAGUGGAUAUCAUGUUUGCUCAUCGUUUGAAAUGUCUUGUUAUAUAUAACAUUUGUAAGAAACAUGUUGAAAUUUUAUGCUCACAUUUUCAAGCUGCAUUUCAAGCUCUUUCUCUUGGUCUGUAAUAGUCAAUUUAUAAGGUUAUUUCAUUCACAAACUAAACUUAAAAAAUUCUGAUAUGGCAUGCUUGUUCAUUUGUAUGUCUGGAUCCCGUUCCUAUUUACUCUUUAUUUUUAUUUGUACACAUAAAUUAUACUUUAUGAAUAUAGAUUUUCAUUCAUUAAGAAUAAAUAAAACAUUAAUAAAUCAGCAUUCUCUUACUUUCAAAGGA
rnacentral:lncRNA from 1 species